UUCUAAUGUCUGAUGGGUUCAUUGUCAUGAUCAUGUAAUCAGUCAUGUUCACAGUGAGGUCCUAUGAGCAAGCUUUACAGUACAGGCUUCCUGACACUCCCUCUAACACUGUCACUAUCCACCACCCUGAAGGAAACAUGCUACUACAACAGCCAAUCUCCUUUCACCUCAGAGCUUCCUCCAGGAGACACUCAUAUCACAUCAUCAUCGUCUUCCUCAGCAUAUUCAUCAUCUUCAUCAUUAUCUUUUUCUUCAUCAUGAUGUUCAGAGUUCUGAUUCACCUGGCAGCUCUACCACUCUGGGUGACAGGGCAGGUGUUUAGUAGCAUGGUUCAUCAGAGGCCUGUGGCACUAACAGAAGGUCCUGGAGGAGACGUUCAACUCACCUGCAGCCAUACGAUCUCUAACUACUACGUGAUACUAUGGUACAAACAGUCAGCAGGAGACACUGCUAUGAAACUCAUUGGUUAUGCAUAUACCAAGUUAAUAACCAUGGAGAAAUCAUUUGAAAAGCACUUCAAUGUGAGUGGAGAUGGUGGGAAAGAGGCUUAUCUUCAUCUAUUGAGUCUGAGAGGACCUGAACACUGUGCAGUUUAUUACUGUGCAGCCAGCCAACACAGUGAUGUAGACUUCCUCCUGUUCUCUACUAAAACCCUGUCUGAUGGUAAUAUUAGACCACGGCUCAGAACACCUGCAUCUGAGGUUUGACUUUGACUCAAUGCCAAUGAAUAAACACAGAUGGAUGAUGGCAUAAGGUGAUAUCUGUCCUAGUACAGUAUACCAGUAUUUACAGUUUACUGUCACCACUCAUUAACAUACAUUAUGCAAUGUUACAAUGUCAUAUUCCAUUACUCCAUUUCUAUCUCUCCCCUCUCUCUCUCUCUCUCUCUCUCUCUCUCUCUCUCUCUCUCUCUCUCUCUCUAUCUCUCCCCUCUCUCUCUCUCUAUCUCUCCCCUCUCUCUCUAUCUCUCCCCUCUCGCUCAAUUCAAUUCAAU
rnacentral:lncRNA from 1 species